GAGAGUAGGCGUUGGCGGUUGCAGGUCAGUCAAACAAACUGGCUUGAGGAAAGUCCGGACUCCCGAAAGACCAAACUUGCUGGAUAACGUCCAGUGCGAGCGAUCGUGAGGAUAGUGCCACAGAAAAAUACCGCCAAAAGAGUACUGAGUAAUGAGUGCUGAGUUCUGAGUAGAGAAAACUCAGAACUCGGUACUCAGCACUCACAACUGUUUUGGUAAGGGUGCAAAGGUGCGGUAAGAGCGCACCAGCAGUGUCGAGAGGCACUGGCUCGGUAAACCCCAGUUGGGAGCAAGGCCGAAGGAACUAUGGUUGGUCUUUUACCAGUUCCGCGAUAAGAGCGCCGCUAGAGGCGUUUGGUAACAAACGUCCCAGAUAGAUAACCGCCUUCUUGUAAAGCAAUUUACACAGAAAACAGAACCCGGCUUACUACCAACUCUCUCCU
rnacentral:RNase_P_RNA from 2 species